GACGAACGCUGGCGGCGUGCCUAAUACAUGCAAGUAGAACGCAGUUGCGAACGGGGGAGUAACGCGUCGGUAACUGCCCCAUAGCGGGGGAUAAAUAUUGGAAACGAUAGCUAAUACCGCAUACUGUGAGACGGACCUGCGUUGUAUUAGCUAGUUGGUGCGGUAAAGGCUCACAAAGGCGACGAGACAUAGCCGACCUGAGAGGGUGAUCGGCCACACUGAGAAUGAGAGACGGCGCAGACUCCUACGGGAGGAAGCAGUAGGGAAGCUGCGGCAAUGGGCUGAAGUCUGACCGAGCAAAGCCGCGUGAGUGAAGAAGGUUUUCGGAUCGUAAAGCUCUGUUGUUAGAGAAGCGGUAUCUGACCAGAAAGCCACGGCUAACUACGUGCCAGCCGCCGCGGUAAUAC
rnacentral:rRNA from 1 species